CCUACGGGAGGCUGCAGUGAGGAAUAUUGGUCAAUGGGCGCGAGCCUGAACCAGCCAAGUAGCGUGAAGGAUGACUGCCCUACGGGUUGUAAACUUCUUUUAUAAAGGAAUAAAGUGAGGCACGUGUGCCUUUUUGUAUGUACUUUAUGAAUAAGGAUCGGCUAACUCGGUGCCAGCAGCCGCGGUAAUACGGAGGAUCCGAGCGUUAUCCGGAUUUAUUGGGUUUAAAGGGAGCGUAGAUGGGUUGUUAAGUCAGUUGUGAAAGUUUGCGGCUCAACCGUAAAAUUGCACUUGAUACUGGCAGCCUUGAGUACAGUAGAGGUAAGCGGAAUUCGUAGUGUAGCGGUGAAAUGCUUAGAUAUCACGAAGAACUCCAGUUGCGAAGGCAGCCUACUAGACUGCCACUGACGUUGAUGCUCGAAAGUGUGGGUAUCAAACAGGAUUAGAUACCCGAGUAGUC
rnacentral:rRNA from 1 species